rnacentral:rRNA from 1 species
AACGAACGCUGGCGGCAUGCCUAACACAUGCAAGUCGAACGAGACCUUCGGGUCUAGUGGCGCACGGGUGCGUAACGCGUGGGAACCUGCCCUUAGGUUCGGAAUAACUCCCCGAAAGGGGUGCUAAUACCGGAUAAUGUCUUCGGACCAAAGAUUUAUCGCCUUUGGAUGGGCCCGCGUUGGAUUAGCUAGUUGGUAGGGUAAAAGCCUACCAAGGCGACGAUCCAUAGCUGGUCUGAGAGGAUGAUCAGCCACACUGGGACUGAGACGCGGCCCAGACUCCUACGGGAGGCAGCAGUGGGGAAUAUUGGACAAUGGGCGAAAGCCUGAUCCAGCAAUGCCGCGUGAGUGAUGAAGGCCUUAGGGUUGUAAAGCUCUUUUAACCGGGAUGAUAAUGACAGUACCGGGAGAAUAAGCUCCGGCUAACUCCGUG